GGCGACAUAGCCAAGUGGUAAGGCACGAGCCUGCAAAGCUCUGAUCCUCGGUUCGAAUCCGAGUGUCGCCUCCA
rnacentral:tRNA from 2 species